UUUCCACAUGAGAAUCCUCUUUUCUUCACAUUAUGGACACCGAAGCAGAAAACAAAAGGCGUAGAAGCGAGAGGAAAAGUGCUUCUCGGAACGGCUCAUGGAACAAGAAGAGUGCCACAUCAGUUUGAACAAGAAGAGUGUUUCGAAUCCAACAACAAUGCACUCAUUCUCACGGCUUCGCAUUCAAAUAUUCGAUGGCACAAAGAUUCACAUCGUUCCAUCAUCAGUUCAAUAGCUUCGAAGAUUCAAUUUACUCUGGUGUCAUUCACACACAAACAGAAGAAGAAACAAACAUCGAAGGAGAAUUGGAAACUCACCAGAUUAAAUAGUUGGAUAUUCAAUUUGAGCCAUGAACAUGGAACUGCACAUUGCACUUGGAUUGCAUUGGAUUGGAAGGAAUUAGUCAUGGGAAAAUGUGAUUGAAAUAUGGAUGGUUCCAUGGAUUAGUUGGAUUGCAUCAGAUUGAGGAAUCUUGGUCAUAAAUUGGUAGCUUUCUAUUUGAGGUUUACUUGCAGGACCGGCUACAAAGUCCUAGAUUUAUGUGUUGAGUAUAUGACUAUUUCGUUGGUAAAGCUUUUGGACAAAAAUACUGAUGUAAAUGAACAAAGUAAAUAAAAGACAAAAAUACUUAUGUAAAUGAACAAAGUAAAUAAAAGUUAUUUGGUAAA